UCAGCUGGUUUGGAGACUUCGGUUCUUCUAAGGAUAAGGCUCCCACUCAGAAGAUUUUGGAUUUGACUCGGGAGUUAUAAUACCGAGUUAUCCUUUGUUGAUAGGAAGCCAUCCUUAGUUGAGCUCGCCUCUGAGUUUCAUCAAGCAAGUCCAUAUCGAUUCGUCGCUUGUCCAAAUUGAUCGAUUCAUCAUAAUUCUCUACUCGAGUCGAAGGUAGGCCGAUUUCAACUGGAAUUAUGGCUUCUGUUUCGAAAGCCAAUUUGAAAAGAGUCUCUCUAAUCGGGAUUUGAGAAGUUGUUUAGUA
rnacentral:lncRNA from 1 species